GGUGGAGCGGUACAGGCCUUGACCCCAAAGGCGAGGCCUUUCUGCGACUGCCAGGUUGGGGAGCUCCGAGAAUGUGCCAACAGACGGCAGAAUACGUGGUUCCCUGCUCCACAAAAAACAAGUAUACUUGACAGCUAAGGACAGCCAUUAGAAAGAAGAGGUACUAGAAGCUAUACAAGUUUGUACUGAGGAUACAAGCCACUUACUGGAACUUAACCUCUCUGGGAGCCUUAUAAAAUGAGUGCAAACAAUAUAUCAUGCAUGCUAAGUCACUUCAGUCAUGUCCAACUCUUUGCAACCCUAUGGACUAUAGCCCUCCAAGCUCCCCUAUACACAGGAUUCUCCAGAAACUCCUUUACGAACCUUCUCCUUUCUCUUCCUGCCACUCAUCUGAGAGAGGUUCUCCAGGCCAGUCCUGGAAAAUUCCAGGACAAGGGGACCACUCGCAGAAUCCAGGUUGUCCCAGUGCAGCGGCUUUGAGUGCCCUGUUUCAUGCAUCGAACUUGGACCGGUCAUCCACUUCACAUGUGACUCUAGAUCCAUCUGCUGCUGCUGCGGCUACUAAGUCGCUUCAGUUGUGUCCGACUCUGUGCGACCCCAUACACAGCAGCCCACCAGGAUCCCCCGUCCCUGGGAUUCUCCAGGCAAGAACACUGGAGUGGGUUGCCAUUUCCUUCUCCAAUGCAUGAAAGUGAAAAGUGAAAGUGAAGGCGUUCAGUCAUGUCCAACCCUCAGCGACCCCAUGGACUGCAGCCUUCCAGGCUCCUCCGUCCAUGGGAUUUUCCAGGCAAGAGUACUGGAGUGGGCUGCCAUUGCCUUCUCCAUGGAUCCAUCUACAUCUCUACAAAUGACCCUAUUUGCUCCUUUAAGUGGCUGAGUAAUAAUUCAUUGUAAGUAUGUACCACAUCUUCUCUAAGUUUUGUUCAUUUGCUUAUUACUUGUCUGCAUCCCCCUCUAAUUUUGCUUUUUAAUCCUCAAUGAGGAGUCAGAAAACUUUGUUGCCACUUUCCUAUCAGAAUUCCAUUAAAAAUAUAUGAUUUUACUGACACGUGUUUCUAAUAUUGCUCUUUUAAGUAUCUUUCUUCUAAGUAAUUUUUAAACAUUUAAGUAGGCAGAGAACCUGUACAGGGCACAUAAGGACAAGGUUUCCCGUUUCAUUGAGAAGUGACAACAAAAAAAUGCACUCUGUGGUGCUAAUAGGGGUAACUGAAAGCAUAAUUAUUCCAGAGAACUUGGAUUUUAAUUGUCACUUACUGCAUAUUUAUUAAAAUACCUGAC
ensembl:lncRNA